rnacentral:rRNA from 1 species
GACGAACGCUGGCGGCGUGCUUAACACAUGCAAGUCGAACGGAAAGGCCCUGCUUUUGUGGGGUGCUCGAGUGGCGAACGGGUGAGUAACACGUGAGUAACCUGCCCUUGAUUUUGGGAUAACUUCAGGAAACUGGGGCUAAUACCGGAUAGGAUCUCCUGUUGCAUGGUGGGGGUUGGAAAGUCUCGGCGGUUGGGGAUGGACUCGCGGCUUAUCAGCUUGCUGGUGGGGUAGUGGCUUACCAAGGCUUUGACGGGUACCCGGCCUGGGAGGGUGGCCGGCCACAUUGGGACUGAGAUACGGCCCAGACUCCUACAGGAGGCAGCAGUGGGAAAUAUGGCACAAUGGGCGGGAGCCGGAUGCAGCAACGCCGCGUGCGGGAUGACGGCCUUCGGGUUGUAAACCGCUUUCGCCUGUGACGAAGCGUGAGUGACGGUAAUGGAUAAAGAAGCACCGGCUAACUACGUG